rnacentral:rRNA from 1 species
CCUACGGGAGGCAGCAGUAAGGAAUAUUGGUCAAUGGAGGGAACUCUGAACCAGCCAUGCCGCGUGCAGGAUGACUGCCCUAUGGGUUGUAAACUGCUUUUGUCCAGGAAUAACUACCACUACGUGUAGUGGCUUGAAUGUACUGGAAGAAUAAGGAUCGGCUAACUCCGUGCCAGCAGCCGCGGUAAUACGGAGGAUCCAAGCGUUAUCCGGAUUUAUUGGGUUUGAAGGGUGCGUAGGCGGCUUAUUAAGUCAGGGGUGAAAGACGGUGGCUCAACCAUCGCAGUGCCCUUGAUACUGAUGAGCUUGAAUACACUAGAGGUAGGCGGAAUGUGACAAGUAGCGGUGAAAUGCAUAGAUAUGUCACAGAACACCGAUUGCGAAGGCAGCUUACUAUGGUGUUAUUGACGCUGAGGCACGAAAGCGUGGGGAUCGAACAGGAUUAGAUACCCUGGUAG